GGAGAGUAGGCAAAUGUUGGUUUGUUGCGGCAUCCUGCUAAGAUGUUCCGUGUAACAGCGGUGAAGGUUCGAUUCCUUUGCUCUCCG
rnacentral:tRNA from 1 species